GUUUAUGAGCUUAUGGAAGCUGUUGUUGAGCAACCACAACCUUGUGCACCUGCUGACCAAUUUUCUCCAGAGUUCUGCUCAUUUAUAUCUUCAUGUGUGCAGAAGGACCCAAAAGCUAGACAGUCAGCACAUGAACUUAUGACACAUGCAUUCAUGAACAUGUAUGACGACCUGCAUGUGGAUCUCUCAUCUUACUUCAAAAAUGCAGGCUCUCCACUU
rnacentral:misc_RNA from 1 species